rnacentral:rRNA from 1 species
AGUGAACGCUGGCGGUAGGCCUAACACAUGCAAGUCGAACGGCAGCACAGUAAGAGCUUGCUCUUACGGGUGGCGAGUGGCGGACGGGUGAGGAAUACAUCGGAAUCUACUUUUUCGUGGGGGAUAACGUAGGGAAACUUACGCUAAUACGGCAUACGACCUACGGGUGAAAGCAGGGGAUCUUCGGACCUCGCGCGAUUGAAUGAGCCGAUGUCGGAUUAGCUAGUUGGCGGGGCAAAGGCCCACCAAGGCGACGAUCCGUAGCUGGUCUGAGAGGAUGAACGGCCACGCUGGGACUGAGACACGGUCCAGACUCCUACGGGAGGCAGCAGUGGGGAAUAUUGGACAAUGGGCGCAAGCCUGAUCCAGCCAUACCGCGUGGGUGAAGAAGGCCUUCGGGUUGUAAAGCCCUUUUGUUGGGAAAGAAAAGCAGCAGGUUAAUACCCCGCUGUUCUGACGGUACCCAAAGAAUAAGCACCGGCUAACUUCGUG